GGGAUAGUGCUGUUUUGAAGUGGUUAACUUGUCUGUUAGAAGAUGAGGGAUGAUGUUGUUUUGAAGUGGUUAACUUGUCUGUAAGAUGGUAGGGAUGGUGCUGUUUUGAAGUGGUUAACUUGUCUGUUAGAAGAUGAGGGAUGAUGUUGUUUUGAAAUGGUUAACGCAAGGGAUGAUGCUGGUUAACUUGUCUGUAAGAGUUUAAAGGUGUGUUGGUUUAAAGCCAUUCUUCGUGUAUGAAAAAGGGAUGUGGGUCCAACGAAAUGAUUAUUGUUGUAAAAUUUAAAUAUUUUCUUUGUAAAAAAUGUAAUACACGUUCAACUCAUCAUAAAAAUGUUGAUAAGUAAAUAUUGACUUAAUAAAAAUAUUACAUGUACACGUAUAGUUGUAGAUUUCACGUCCUAUGUAAAUGUCAUAUUUUUUGUGUCUGUUUAGUGACGUAGAUUCCUUCCAUAUGUCUUAACUUAUACUUGACAAGUUGCUGAGAGAAGUAGUAAAUUAACCAUGUACUCAACCCAUCCCAUACACAACGGAUACGGAAAUGAAGGUAACAUUCCAACACUAUAUUACACAUGAUGUUUUAUAUCAGAGUUCCUUGCAUGUGUGUUGUGAGUAUUAUAACUGUUUGAAGUCAUUUUUACAAGUGGUGCUGUAAAUUGUUUAAAUUAUGUUCUUGGGUGAUAUAUAAUAUAUGGCUCGUUACUAAAGGGCACUCUAUAAAGCGCAGCUCACAUUCUGAUUAAUAGCUAUAAUUGUUUGUUCUUUAAAUUUCCUAUGAUAACACUUGUUCAAAGUUUCUUCUUUGCGCAUGGUCGGUAACUGCACACGUGGAGUGUUCAUAUCAAGAUAAUCCUUAUUUGAGUGAGGAACGUAAGGGUGGAAUGAAAGCUAUGUUCUUUCUUCACUGAACACAGAGGCCUCUGUGGUUAGGGGAAGCUGUUGACGGAACUUGUCUAUUAGUUGACCUCCAUGUGUCAGUAUUGCGACCAAACUCUGCAGUUUAAAAAUACUUUUCACUGUCUGCACAACAGUCAACCAUGUGCUAUACACGUAUCACAUUGAUUGAGCUUUGAAGUAUAAGACAUUGUGCGUUUAUCUCAUUCUUGAGCAUGAUUUCACAGAAUAUAUAUAAUACAAAACUAACAGAAGAGACGUUUUGACCAUACUAACUUUGCUUAUACUAACUGGACUUUAUCUAACCUAACGAAACAAACGACUGUAGCGGAUACAAUGUCAUUCUAUGUUCAUAUUCUAAAUAGUAAGACGUGACGACCGUAUAGGAUGUCGUAGCAAGAUUUCAUCUCGGAUAAUAUGACGACCAUAUGGGAUGCCGUAACAGUAUUUUAUCUAGGGUAACGUGACGACCGUAUAGGAUGUCGUAACAGUAUUUCAUCUAGGGUAACGUGACGACCGUAUAAUACGGCAUAUCUUUUUCUAUUAUGUUCUAACUAUCAAGCUUUUAUCUAGGGUAAUGUGACAACUGUAUAGAAUAGUAUAUCGUUGUAAGUUAUCUUCUAAUUAGCAGAACUAGGGUAACAUGACGACCGUAUAAAAUAUCAUAUCAGGAUUUUAACUAGGGUAAUGUGACAACUGUAUAGAAUAGGAUAUCGUUGUAAGUUAUCUUCUUAUUAGCAGAACUGCAUCUAGGGUAACAUGGCGACCGUAUAAGAUAUCAUAUCAGGAUUCUAUCUAGGGUAACGUGACGACCGUAUUGGAUAUCAUAUCUUUUUGUAUUGUAGUCUAACUAGCAAGAUUUUAUCCAGGUUUAUGUGACAACUAUAUAUGAUAAGAUAUCGUUAUAUCCUACUACCAGGGUAAGGGUAACGUUCAGUUAUUUGUGCCUAAUAAUGCAGGUGUUUUGUUGUUUUCACACAGAAAGGGAGAAUAUGACUUCUCUCCAAGAUGGUUGGUUAAAAGAUUUGUUUUUAAUUAACCGGUACAUCAUAACUGUGUGACCAUCCACAGAAUAUUUACAUCAGAUCAACUUCCACGAGUAAUAUUAACUCGAUGUAUUAAUUAGGCCUCAAGCUGUAGCUACUCUCAUUUUCUGAUCUGUCAGAAAAUUUCAAAAAUUGUAGUAAUACAUAUCUUUAAUUGCACCAAAUUCCAUGUUAAAAGUUAGAUAAAUCAAUGAAGACUGAUACAACACAAUAAAAAUUGAACUCUCUCACGGCUAUAUCAACACAACCAGAUACCAAAACUUUAUAAAUCUUUCCGUAAACGGGCACCUAUUAAGUUUAUGAAAUUUUGUAACGUGUAAUAAUAUUUGCUGUUGUAAAGUAAGAAAUGUAACACUAAUGAAUUAGAUGUAUCUUAAGCUUUAUCUCACAAUGACAAAGAGUAUACCUUUUUAGAGAUCUAGAUCCUAUAGAGCAGAUUGGUUUUAAAAGUAACUUUAAAAUAUAACUUUAUAGCAAACUACAGGUAGGAAAUAAUCUUGUCUACGUAAGUAAAAUAUAACUUUAUUGUAAACUAAAGGUACGAAAUAAUAUUGUCUACGUAAGUAAAAUAUGACUUUAUAGUAAACUACAGGUAGGAAAUAAUCUUGUCUAUGUAAGUAAAAUAUAACUAUAUAGUAAACUACAGGUACGAAAUAAUCUUGUCUACGUAAGUAAAAUAUAACUAUAUAGUAAACUACAGGUACGAAAUAAUCUUGUCUACGUAAGUAAAAUAUAACUUUAUUGUAAACUACAGGUACGAAAUAAUCUUGUCUAUGUAAGUAAAAUAUAACUAUAUAGUAAACUACAGGUAGGAAAUAAUCUUGUCUAGGUAAGUAAAAUAUAACUUUAUUGUAAACUACAGGUACGAAAUAAUCUUGUCUAUGUAAGUAAAAUAUAACUUUAUUGUAAACUACAGGUACGAAAUAAUCUUGUCUACGUAAGUAAAAUAUAACUUUAUUGUAAACUACAGGUGUGAAAUAAUCUUGUCUACGUAAGUAAAAUAUAACUUUAUUGUAAACUACAGGUACGAAAUAAUCUUGUCUAUGUAAGUAAAAUAUAACUAUAUAGUAAACUACAGGUAGGAAAUAAUCUUGUCUACGUAAGUAAAAUAUAACUUUAUUGUAAACUACAGGUACGAAACGAUCUUGUCUACAUAAAUAAAAUAUAGGUUUGUGGUGAACUAUAGCUGUAGAAAUAACGUCGUGGUGAAGUAAAACAGUUUUUUUGUGGACUAAUUAUCGUUCUUACAAGCUGUAAACUAUAAAUCACUGUUUCAAGUCAUCAGACAAGUUCUUGUAUUUCACACUAUAAUACAUAACUACUCGAUAGUUUUAUAGUUUUUCCCAAGUCCUGGAAUCCAUAUCAUUUUAUUAUUAAGUCGGAUAUUUAUAUUUUUAGCUACAUUUCAUUAGAAAUCUAUAGUUAGAAUUCGUUCAAUUCGUCUUCUGGAGUUUCAGAUAGAUCAAUCUCUGGUUUUUAAUUUUUGAAAGAGUUUACUAUCGUAACGGCAUUUCGUAAUUCUUUUCGUAGGGUCCAUAUUUUGUUCGAAACUUGAUAUUUUCUCUUCUUUCCACACACACACACACUAGUGUUUUUAUCCCAAGUUUUAACUUGAGUGUCUUGGUUCAAGGUGACUGCUAAUCGCUAAAGUUAAGUUUUUAUUAAAAGCAACGAUAAUAUGUGUUGGGCGAUGGGUACAAGUGUUUUAUAUAAGUUUAACGUUCGAGUACGUAACGUUUUAACUUGCUAAACGUGUAUAUGCUUGUAGUAAUCAAAGUUUACUGUAUAUAAGUAUAUGGAAACCAAACCUAAGUAUUUAGCUUUGAAAAAUGUAUUGGUGUCGGCUAAAAGUGUCACAGAUAUCAAUUUAUUAUUUAACAAAUAUAUUUACUCAUAUUAUUCAACUCUCACGAUGUAACAGUAUCUUGGCGAAAAAGAAAAUAAAUUAUUUUGUGAAUAAAAUAUUUCAACCUCA